GAUGAACGCUGGCGGCAUGCCUAAUACAUGCAAGUCGAACGAACACACGAGGAGCUUGCUCCUCUAACGUUGGCGGCGGACGGGUGAGUAACACGUGGAUCACCUACUUAUAAGACUGGGAGAACUUCGGGGAACAGGAGCCAAUACCAAAUCACAUGACGAACCGCAUAGUUCAACGGUGCAUGAGACUUUUGCCGUCACUAAGAGCCGGAUCCGCGCCGCAUUAGCUAGUGGGUAAGGUAACGGCACACCAAGGAAACGAUGCGUAGCCGAUCUGAGAGGAUGAUCAGCCACACUGGAACUGAGACACGGUCCAGACUCCUACGGGAGGCAGCAGUGGGGAAUAUUGCGCAAUGGGCGCAAGCCUGACCGAGCAAUACCGCGUGGGUGAAGAAGGUCUUCGGGUCGUAAAACUCUGUUAUUGGGAAAGAAAAGCUGUGUAAUAAUCCACCGCCGUUCUGACGGUACCUAAUCAAUAAGCCACGGCUAACUUCGUG
rnacentral:rRNA from 1 species